rnacentral:rRNA from 1 species
UACGUAGGGCGCAAGCGUUAUCCGGAAUUAUUGGGCGUAAAGAGCUCGUAGGCGGUUUGUCGCGUCUGCCGUGAAAGUCCGGGGCUCAACUCCGGAUCUGCGGUGGGUACGGGCAGACUAGAGUGAUGUAGGGGAGACUGGAAUUCCUGGUGUAGCGGUGAAAUGCGCAGAUAUCUGGAGGAAUACCGGUGGCGAAGGCGGCAUCCUGGACCGGCAUUGACGCUGAGGAGCGAAAGCUAGGGGAGCAAACGGG